AGAUUGAACGCUGGCGGCAUGCUUUACACAUGCAAGUCGAACGGCAGCACGAGUGCUUGCACUUGGUGGCGAGUGGCGAACGGGUGAGUAAUGCAUCGGAACGUGUCCUGAAGUGGGGGAUAACGCAUCGAAAGAUGUGCUAAUACCGCAUAUUCUCUGAGGAGGAAAGUAGGGGAUCGAAAGACCUUAUGCUUUUGGAGCGGCCGAUGUCUGAUUAGCUAGUUGGUGGGGUAAUGGCCUACCAAGGCGACGAUCAGUAGUUGGUCUGAGAGGACGACCAGCCACACUGGGACUGAGACACGGCCCAGACUCCUACGGGAGGCAGCAGUGGGGAAUUUUGGACAAUGGGCGAAAGCCUGAUCCAGCAAUGCCGCGUGAGUGAAGAAGGCCUUGGUUGUAAGCUCUUCAGUUGAGAAGAAAGAUUAGUGGCUAAUAAUACACGAUACCAUGACGUAUACAACAGAAGAAGACAA
rnacentral:rRNA from 1 species